ensembl:snRNA U6 U6 spliceosomal RNA
GUGCUCACUUCGGCAGCACAUAUACUAAAAUUGGAACGGUACAGAGAAGAUUAGCAUGGCCCCUGCGCAAGGAGGACACGCGAAUUUGUUAAGCGUUCCAUAUUUUG